rnacentral:lncRNA from 1 species
AUGAAAGUUUACAUGGUGAGAAAGAACAUACUGGGAAUGGAAGCUCAUUUAAUUGUGACUGGCAUUUGUGAACUAGCUGCUGGCAAUAUCAUCCAUCGAGUGCUAAAAUUAAAUGAGUCCCACGUUAAUCCUCCAACUGCAAAUAUUCUUCGAGCAACACGGUCGGUGCAGGAACUGUUACUGGAUUAACUUUCCAACACUUCAUGCGUUUAUCCAUAGCGAGAAACACUUCGCCCUGGGAACUUCCAGAACAUAGUGCAGAACGGAGCAUUCUUGAGAUGGUAAAUGAUUUAUGCAGACUAGUUUGCCAUCCUUACUGAUGUUUGCCACUGGGUUUGAAAUCUUAGCCAUCUGAAAGGGUAAAGAAGGAAAAAAAUUCCACACCUUUAGGUCUUCAUGUAGUGUUGAGAAUAGCUUAAGACAAACCAUAACCUGCCUGAGUCGUCCAUAUCAGCUUAUAACUAUGUCAAUGGUAUAGAAACACUGUAUUUUAGUUUACAGAACACAUUUAGUAUUUUUUUUCCAUUUAAUGUCUAGAUAUAAAAAUGAAGAAACUUGAUUUUGUUUUUAGUAGAAGCCUUUUUUUUUUUUAAUUGUACAUAGUGAAAUGAGUGUUCCUGCUUUCUAGACAAUGUAUUUUAAAACCUUGAAAUUAAGCUAACUUAAGUCUGACUUCACUUUGCAUGCUUCUAUUUGGCCCCUAUUAGGAGAAAAAAGAUACUUGUAUUGACUACAUUACCAGUUUAAUAAGACCAUUUAUGCUGUAGUUUUAAGUUUUUCUGUUUACAUAGCUUAGUGACGGCCAUGCAUUUUUCCCAGUAGGCGGAUAGUAUUUGCAGUGUUUCAUAUUUAUAAAAAACAAAAAACUUGCAUCUUAUUUAAAUUGAGAAUAAAAGUUUGACUAUGAAUCAUGAUUUUUGUAUGUAGAUGGUUGACUUAGUAUUUUGUACUUUUCCCAGCUAAAGUGAGCUGUUUUGAGAAAGUGACCACCUUCAAAGUGGCAACAAUCUUACUUAAGCAGAUCACUGCUUUGUCUUCUUUCUGCUGGAAAACAGUCAAUGCCACCUUAGUUUUCCAACAGAUUCAGCUGGCUGCCAGCUCAGAAUACCAAGGACUGAAGGACAUUUGACUCUUAUUUUUGUAUUUAAAUGACAUGAAUGUAAAGGGGAUGCUCAGGGUUGUUUUGGAGCCUGUUGAAUUUUUAUCUUUUUGCCUGUGAUUUUAUUUUCUAAAUAAAUACUUCAUGUAGCAAUCUUGAAUAUGUUGAGAAGGAAAAUGCCAAACCAUUUUGGUAAUGAGGUUACUAGUUAAGUUAUGUUACGAUAGGUGUUAAAAGUACAAAAAAACUUUUUAUUUGUUAAUUAAUCUUGAAGAAACACGUGCCUCAGUUUAGAUGUUUUGUCUUAUCUUUUCUGCACUAAAUACCUGACAGUUUGACCAAUCAAUGCACCUUUCCAGUGGCAAGACUUGCUUAUCGUAAAUUAUAUUGUCACAAUGCAAGAUUUAGUGACUGUAAAAUGGAAUAAAGUUUAAAGUUUCAGGGAAUGCAAAAGGUAUUAACUUAAGAGACAAAACCUUUAUUCAAUAUGCUUUGCUUCAUACUGUAAAUAGCUUUUUGGCUUGUGAACCUAAUUGUAAUCUUUCAGGUAUUUUUGUACAAAUAAGGGACUGAUAUUCUGUUUCUUGUAAUUAGAAAUAAACGUUAAUACAAUGCUAUUCAUUUUAUAUUGGAAUGAAUGUCUUCUGUUGGGUGUAUCUCUGUACACAGCAUGUCUCGCCUUAAUUCAGGGUUAUUUGGGGUGAGUUACCAUAUUAAACAUCCUUUAAGAAGAGUUAAAAGGAAAACAGAGACCACAAAAUACCUCCAUUCCAGCUGCUCUGUCUGAUGAUUCCUAUUAGCACAGUUUGUCCUAUAUUUGAAGAAGAAGUUGUUCACCUCUUUUGCUUGAGGGAAAUUAUUUCGGAUAUUCUGCUGUGAUAUUUACGAUAUUCAUUUGGGAAACAUUGCUGGAAUCAAAUUAGGAAAUAGAGCACUAGCAUCUUUUGGCUUAUAAAACACAACCAUAACUCACUGCAAAUCUAUGCUCUGGAUAAAGCGCUCCCUUGGCAUGAUAGCUGCUGGAUUGGGCCAUUUCUCAGUAGUACUUUCAGAAAGCAGUUACUUAUUGGGUCCCAUAAGCCUUGUAUUCGAGUGGCCCAUCAGCACC